UAUCCACAUUUAAUUUUAGACAAUUCUGCGUGCAGUAUGUAAUCAUUUUGUUAAUAACCGUAACUAUGUUUUCAGAAAGCAUAUUAAGACUAUGACUGCACACCAUACACGAAGUAUCGUCAGCAAAUUGAUAAACGUGCUUAAUGUCCACGUGUUCAUGUAGAUCAUUUACAUACAGAAGGAACAAUAUGGGGCCAAGAAUUGAUCCUUGCGGUACCCCUUGCAUGAUAUGACUAAUAUACGACUUUUUAGUUGUUAAAGUAUUGUUAAUAGUAGUCGUUACAUAAACUCGUUGAGUUCUGCCAGUUAAAUAUGAUGCUAUUAAUUUAUUUACUUGCCCCCUAAGACCAUAUUUCUCUAUUUUAUUUAACAGGAUGUCGUGUUUAAUUGUAUCAAAUGCCUUUGACAAAUCGAAGUAGACACCGGCACAUUUUUGAUGAUCGUCAAGAGAAUUCAGUAAUGAGUCCAUAAAAUUAAAUAAAGCAGUUUCGGUGUUACGAUUAGGUACAAAACCAUGGUGUGUUUGAGAAAUGAUAGCGUUACGUUGAAGGGAAAUUAAUUAAUCUAUGAUAUAUAAUUUUUUCAAAAAUUUUUGAGAUUGAUGACAGAAGAGAUAUUGGCCUAUAGUUGUUAAUAUUUUCUUUACUGCCUUUUUUGUGAAUUGGAAUAACUUUGGCUUCUUUUAACUCAUUUGGAAAGUAGCCAUCUGAAAAGCAUUGAUUAAGUAUUUGAGUUAGGGGUUCACUUAUAAGAUUGUUGACGCUUUUUAUUACGGUUAUAGGAAUUUCAUCAAUCCCAUUUGAAUAUUUAUUUGGUAACGUGGUUAUCAAUUUUUUUACUUCGUCUACUGUCACCGGCAUAAGGUACAUGCUAUUAUUGACAUAUUUGUUACUAACUGAAUGAUUAUUAUUAUUGGAACUACUAGAGUUACUGUCCCUAGUCGGUUGGAAUACUUUCAUAAACCUAUUGGCUAAUUCUGAUGGAUCAGCAAUUGGGACAUUGUUAUCUUUGAUUGAAUAUUGGUGCUUACGACACCCCCGCUGUGUGAUACUUUUAAAAAUAGCAAACGUUGUUUUUGAUUUAUUUGUGGAACCAUUAAUUAAUCUAUAAUUUUCAUCUUGUUUUACUUUUUUUAAAAAGUCUUAAAGUCUCUUUUUUCCUGUUUAAGUUUUUGGAGCAGUUGUGGUGAUUUAUUUUUUAUGUAUAAUUUAUAUAGAUCAUGUAUAUAUGCUGACCACGUUUUCAAAUAUGGGUUGUUAAUUUUUUUUGUUUUAUUUUGGAUGACAGGCUUUGUUAUUAAUGGAUAGGAUUUGUUGAAAUGGUAUUUGAUUAUUUCAUAGAAUUGUUUAAAUUUACUGCUGCUGUCUGACACACAAUAAACAUUAUGCCAAGAUUCAUUUCUAAUGGCUUCGUAAAAGGUAAGAUUAUUUUUUGAACUUACGAAAUUUCGUUUUUGAGUAUAGAGGGUUUCCGACUCUAUUUGCUGGUCCCCAGAAGAGAUUUUCAAUACUUGCGAGAAAUGGUCUGAUAUAUAUGACUUGAUGACUUCACAUGCUAGAAUCAGUAUUAAUAUUGCUGAAUAUAUUGUCUAAGAGGGAUUCUGAAUUUCUACCUAUUCGCGUUGCUUCCCGUACAUGUGGUAUUAAUCCAAAGCUUUGAAAAAGAUGUACCACUUCACGAGCUUCGCCAUUGUUACUGUUUUCCAGGAAGGCGACAUUGAAAUCUCCGCAGACUAUUAAUCGUUUUGAUGAAGUACUAAAAACAUAUUGUAAUAACUCAAAUAAUUUUUGGAGAAAUACAUUUUUAUCUCCAGUAGGAGCACGGUAUAUACAUACUACUAGAAUAUUAGGCUCGUUGGACGGUUUGAUCUUUGCACAACAAUAUUCAAAGUCACCCUCUAUCGGUUUAGGUUGAUCGAGAUUCACAGGAGAACUGUCAAACAGAUUGGAAUUUUUUAAGGAUAUCGCUGUACCACCACCUCGGGUGCUUUGACGGGAGAAGGUUGCAACUAGAUGAUAGUUUUCAGGUCCGUAUGGUAAAACUUCGCCAUCUUUGAGGCAGUGUUCAGUGAUACCAAUAAUUGUAGGGGUUAAUUCAUUUACAAGAUGACUGAAUUCAUUGCGUUUGUUUCUUAAACUUUGGAGAUUAAGAUGUAGUAGUGAACAGAUUGGAGUUUGGACUAACUUGGUGUUUGUCUCGUCGUCGCCCGAUGAAAAUAACGUGUUACAUAGCAUCCACUUGGCCAGUUAUUGGCAUCUAGUGCUGAAUUGAAAUUAUGCAGAUCGACGGUCACCUUAAAAGAUGUGUAAAAAAAAUUGAAGUUUGGAAUAAAUCCAAACUCAAACAUUCUUACGUAGGUCUGACUGUUGUAAUAAUUUAAACAUGUUAUACUAGUAAACAUGGCAACAAAUCAUCCAAAGGUACGAAUAUCCAGUGGAAGUUGAUCGCGUCACAAUUGAAAAUGGAUAUAUUUUAACCUUUCACAGAAUUCCCCACGGCAAAGGAAAUCUUCUCAAAACCGAACAUCGAUUUUACUUUCACCCGGAUUCGUAUGGUUAGGAAAUUUCAGAGGUACCACUUGGUCUAGAAAACACGCAGUCUUAAAACCUGAUAAAGAUUCGUCUUUUUGGAAUUCCACGUUCGUAUGCACCCAUGAAUAUUUUUUAGAUUUAAACGUGAUACUAUUCUACCUACGUUUAUUGAUCAUAUUGUUUCGUUGAACGGGUUAAGAGCCGAACAAGAUGUUACAAGGCAGACGAAGUUCUCUUCUAAAAACUAUGCGUGCCGAUGUCUGACCCGUUGUGCCAUGGACAGGUGAUCGAUCAGCUAGUCGGAACAGUGGAAGGUGUCGAUCCCAAUCUUGCUGAUGUUCGGUUACCAUUCUACCAUUCCAUCUGACUGUGGGUGCAACGGCGUAGUUCGUGUCUUCCGAGUCGCUAGGACUUCAGUCACCCUUUGGAAUAGGUUUGACUCGAAGUUUCUGCCUUGGUCCGAAUGGAUUUUCAUUGGGACUCUAAACCUGCUGAUCCAAUUUUCAAUCAGCAUUUUUGUAACAGUCGUGGGUUCUUGGUUCGACAGGGCAUAACAGCUGACGACCAUUAUGUACUUAUUUCAGUCCUCGGUUACCGGGAAAGGACUUGCUAUGUCCACUACAAUUCUUUCGAACGCUCCAGUCCUCGGUCACUUGACCGCCACACAGGUCGUACAUUUCUUGCACCAGUUUUCGACAUCUUCGCGACAACGGAUCCAAUAGAAUCUCUCCCUGGAAGCGCCUCCUUGAUUCUGGUGGCCGGAACCACCAACUGCAACUUUGAAAGAAGGUGACACGUCUUCCUCUUGGUCUUUUCUAAGGUGGGCUGUCGUCCAUUAUUCAUCUUCUAUGACUGAUGUCCCUCCCACAGUUGAACGACGUUUCAAGCUACUCGAUCUUGUCGCACUGUUUGCAGUUCUUUCACGGUUUGCUCGACAAAGAGUCCGCAUUAUUGUGGAGCUUACCAGCGCUGUGUCUAAUUUUGAAGUGAUACUGUUUGAGUCGUUCAAGCCAUCUAACCACUUGUCCUUCGGGAUUCUUCAUCUGAAGGAGCCAAGUGAGGGUUGCGUGAUCGGUUCAAAUCAAGAAUUCGCGUUCAUAGAGAUACUUAUGGAAGUGUUCAACAGUCCUGACAAUCGCCAGCAACUUCUUGUUCGUAACACAGUAGUUCUUCUCGGGUUUCGAAAGUACGCUGCUGAAGUACUCCACGACUUUUUCUACCUUGUCCUGCACCUGAGACAAUACAGCGCCUAUUCCGAGGUUGCUCGCGUCUGUGUCCAAAAUUAACAUUCUCGAUGACUGAGGAUAGGACAAAAUAGGACUAGAGUAUACUGCAUUCUUCAAUCUUUUGAAGGCUGCCUCACAUUCAGCAGUCCAAUUAAACUGAGACUUCAAAUCCAUCAGCAAACCCGUUGACAAACUUUCUGUAGUAGGUGCGUUACGGUAGGCUUGAUCCCCUUCGCCGAAACAGUAUUCCCCAGAAAUUCUACUUCUUUUUGGAAGAGGGGGCAUUUCUUCGGAUUCAGCUUCAAAUUUACCUCCUUUAUUCGACCAAAUACUUCUUCUAGGUUGGCCAAGUGCUCCUCAAAUUCCUUUCCCAUUACCAUGAUGUCGUCUAAAUAAACCAAACAUGGCUUCCAUGUUAGCCCUCGUAAUACAAUGGUCUCUCACAUGUAACCGGAGAAUUACACAGUCCAAAAGGCAUUACUGUAAAUUGAUUCAAGACGCUCCCGGCAGAAAAAGCGGUAUUUUCCUUAUCUUGUGGAUGAAUACCGACUUGCCCAUAGCCGCGUUUGAGGUCCAACGUGGAGAACCAGGCCGAUUCUGAUAAUCUUAUGAGCGUCUCAUCAAUUCGUUGAAGCGGGUAACUAUGCUUCUUAGCUACAUCAUUUAGCUUCCUGUAGUCUACGCAGAAUCGCGUAGACCCAUCCUUUUUGGUAACUAACACUACAGGCGGUGACCAUGGACUGUUUGACUCCUCUAUAACGUCUUCGUCUAAUAUUUUUUGUACCAGUUCCUCGACUUCCUCUUGUUCGCGGGACUUGACGGAUCAGUUGCGCGUCUCCAGGGGAUUGUCCAGAUGCAAACAUCCCAUUGUGUUUCUGUAGAAACUCCCUUGCCAUUUUCCGCUGAUAUUCGCUUAGAUCACCAAGCUCUAGGGCAGGAAUUUCUAAGUUGCUUUGUAUUUUUUCAUCGCUGUCAUCAGAAAGAUCUUCGUUGUGAUGAAAUAUGUUCUUGACUGGUUCAAAUACGGCAAGAACAUCCCCACUCUUGAUGUUCACGGCUUUAGGAAAAACAUUUGCGACGUGUACAGGUAUGUCACAAUCGGUAUUAACUAAAGCACUCGCAAUCGUAAGGUUCUUCUUGGAGGUGUGCGAUGGUUGAAUAAUGCCGAGGGCAAAUCCGGGUUUGAUUUCUAUUCUACUGGAACAAUUGUUUCUGCAUUCCCUCUGACUUUCACAUUCUGGCUCGCGAUUGGUCUUGUAGAUUUCGAUUCAAUGCAACGCUGAUUCAGGAUGAACUCUUCAUUAUCAAGACGUAGGACUUUCUCCACUAGAUCGACCGUCAAUCCAUGGCGGCUAAUCAAAUUCAUUCCCAGAAUGAAGUCAUCCUCAAAUCAAGGCCUCAGAUGAUGUCUGGUACCUCGAUAAUUGUAGAACCUUCUAAAACUUCAACGUCACGAAUGCCAUUUAGGAAGGUUUCUGUAGCAAGCCUCUCUUGAAGAUUUGGCGGUGCGUCGGAGUAUGCAAGACGUACCAGUCUCUUGACAUCUGCUUCAAAUUCUUGAAGGGAUUCUCCAACUUUCUGGGUUCUUGUCUUCACUUAGGCUGCAAAAACCUGUCCCAGAUGUUGAUCCCCAAAUCGUUCUAUAGCAGCAGUUAGGGCACUAUAUCUGUUUCUAUCUUCUUCAGACAGAGUUUAGAGUAUCUCUAGCGCUGCACCUGACAAAACUAUCACUAAAGCUGUAGCUUUUUCUUCCUCUUCUCAGAGAUUUGCCGUCGCUGCUGCUUCAAAAUGCUAGUUGUAUGAUGACCAAGGCGUCUGACCAUCAUAGGUGGGUAUUGAGUUGUUCUGGGGGCCGACAGCACAUAACAUGAACCAGUGGUUGCUACAUUUUGAUUAACUUUUCAAAUUUCUUCAUUUUAUUCUCCAUUCUAUCUUCUAUAGUUUUCACUCUAUCUUCCCUACAUUCCUGUACUGAAUUCUCGAACUCACUCUUUAGUUCGACUCCCUCUUUUACUUUUCGAUCCAACAAGACCACAUUUUCUUCGACAAGAUUUUGCAUAACCUUCAAAUUUGUUUCUAUGUCCAUCAUUUGUUCCUUAAUUCCUGUUACUUCACUUUUGUUUACUUCCACUUCCUUUUGGAAUUUUUCAAUUAGGCUGGUGAUUAUGUCAUCUUUUUGUUUGUCUAUUUUUGCGUCAAUCAUUUCCAUUUUUUUGUUCAUUUUUCCAUCUCGUGCGUGCAUCUGUGCAAACAUAACCAUGAUCUUUUUCUCCAUUGCUGAAGUCCAGUUCAGAAUUCUUGUCUAAACUGCUCUAGAUAUUAAUUUCAGACCUCACUUCCGACACCCGUGUUACGUUGAACGGGUGAUUAAAAUCGGCGUGGGUUAAACUCAACAAUUUAUUUCUUAGUAACUUGAAUUUACACAACUAUUUACAGACCGAUUAUGUACAAAAUAAUUCCGGCGCCACUUGACUGGAUUUUCUCGACACUUGCUGGACUCGACUCGACUGAAUAAUAAUCGUUCCCGAAGGUGGCCUUUAUUUAAACCCGGACUUUCUUCUAGAUGGUCGGCGAUCGGGGUCUUUCUGGAGUACCCACCGCGAGUUUAACUUCCAGGCUUUUUUAGCGAAUGCCGCUCGGCCGCCGUCAUCAUCGCCGUACGUACUAGAACCCAUAAACGUCGUACUGAACCGGCGCAUCCACAGGUACUCUAUUAUGUCGGGUUUUCGCAAGGAGUGGCGGCGUUUGCUAUAUGGGUUCGGAGAUUUUAAAAUACUAAAAUUAAAUAUUGUGUUAAAAACAACAAAAUUUGUGAUGACCACGUAGGAUUUCAGGCGAUGUCGGGGUCAUCGUGUUGGAUGCCUAAUCUAAUCUGUAUUUGUAUGCGUGUGGCUGUUUAAUUUUUUGUUCAAUCUUACUUGAGGAUAUUUUCGUUAAUGUAUGUAUUUAGAUUAAAAACUGGUCGAAAGUUACUUAGACAGAACUGUUUUCGUCCCCAAAAAAGAGUCAAAUAAAUCCACUUUUUUAGAAAAAUUAAAAACAUUGAUUUUGUGGUGAAGCGUGCGUUUCAAGUGGAUUUUUCAUAAUAUAUUUUGUGAUAGUGUCAUCAUCUUUUUAGCAAGGACACAUGUAUCAAUUUGGGUAACUACAGUGUAUUUGCAAAAUUUCAGAAAAAUGAAGUAAGCCGUUUUUGAUUCAAGCAGUAAAUAAAUUGUUUCAUUCAUUAAUGUUUUGAGUCAGCCUUUAUAAACAUUUUUAAAAAGGAUGAAUGCAUUGAUGAACCGUAAGUGUAAACUCAUAAUGCACAUUUUACAUUGAAUUUAUCCAGCAAAACUUUGAGAUGACGUCACCAAUUUUUUGGACAAGAUACGUGAUCACUUUUGAUUGACGAUUUACUAUGCUUAUUUUAUUAUGGUAACCGUAAAAAGUUCGCAAGAUCUCAGAGUCUUCAGUUAUGCAACACCAAAUUUAAACGACUUUUUUUAAAGGUUUUUUUCAAUUAUUUUGCCUAACCUGCAAGAUAAACAACACUUGUUGACUCGACUAUGUUUUCAUUGAUUAUGCAUUUUUUUGUGUAUGCUGUUUUUAUUUAAUUUUAAUAAAAAAACGCCCUUUCAAACUAACUGUCAGACCAUCGAGAAGUGCACAUGAAGGUCCAAAGCGCAAAACCAAAACGUAGCCAUUGGUGGUACACGACAUUCCAAAAUCCAAAAUAUAGCAUCCUUUAUAUUUUUGUAUUAACUGCAAUUUAUAUUAGUGUUAUUGAAGUGUGGAAUAAAUCCAAAGUCAAACAUCCUUACGUAGGUCUCAAUGUAGAACAAAUUAUGCAAAGGUACGAAUAUCCAGUCCAAGUUCACCACGUCACAACGGGAGAUGGGUACAUUUUAACCCUCCACAGAAUUCCCCACGGAAAAGAAAAUCAUUCUCGAAACGGAACACCGAUUUUACUUUUACCAGGAAUCUUACAGACUGCUUGGGACUACGUGCAUUAUGGACCUGACAAGUGCUUAAGUUUUCUUUUGGCGGAAAAAGGGUACGACGUAUGGUUAGGCAAUUUCAGAGGUACUACUUAGUCCAGGAAACACGCCGUCUUAAAUCCGGACAAAGAUUUGUCUUUUUGGAAUUUUACGGUACAUGAAAUGGGAACAUAUGACAUACCUGCGUUUAUUGAUCACAUUGUCAAAUUUACCAACCACAGUUCACUCUAUUAUGUCGGUUUUUCGCAAGGAGUGAUGGCC